UCUCUUUCAUUUUCCUAUCACCACCAACGUUCAUCCUCUUCUUCUUCUUCUUCUUCAUAAAGCCCAAACUCGUGGGUACUAUUUAUCACUCUAGAAGUCCGAUUUUGAAAGCUCAAAUCAGAAAACUUCCUUCAUCAAAGUUGUGCAUCUGCUCGAAUACUAUAACUUAUCCAAAAAUGAGCAUCAUCAGAUCGGUCUAGCUACCUCGAAUCGGCUAUGACAUUUCUGUGUUUAUCCACGACUGGUUGUGCCUCAAUUGGAGAAAUAUGACAUAUCCAAAACUCAGAGCAAUCUAACUACUCUAGCUAUGUCUGUGAUGACAAUGCUUCCUUCAUGAAGGUUGUUCAGAAGUCUUUUCAGCAUGGUACACCUGAAACAAGCUUUUGUUAGUUUUCAAGUGUUGUUUGAGUUGGUUAUUUCUCUUUGGGAGCUUCACCCAGGAUUUCGGACCAAUAUUAAGGAAUCAGUUGCCCAAGCAAGAACAAUUUGAGUUCAAAGGUGCAGAAUGCAAGUGAGACAUCAGCUUUGGAUUCCAGAGCAGCGAUCUUGGAAUUGCUGACUCUUGUUCUGAAUCUUCGCUACCUCCAUGGGGGAAGAUGUUUUUUUCCCUGCUGGAAAUAGCACCACCAACCCUUCUCAACCUACCUACCUAGAAGCAUUGACGACACCGAUCCCGACCCAGACACCGACCCGACCAAUUGGCCUCACCUGGACUAGGUGUUGCUGCCGACCCAACCAACCGACCCCGAUGAUCCAGACCUCGACCCCGACUGAAACUACACGAUAUGAAAAAGAUCAAAAGAGAUAUGAAGCUACAAGUGGUGACUCUGGCUAUGUAUUCCAUACUUCGGAUGAUAGAAAUUCAACGGGCUGGAUAAUUGAGUCUGGCGCAACCGAUCAUAUGACAUUUGAUCCUGAUGAUUUUCUGAGUACUAGUCAACCCAGACGAACUAGUAUUGCUAAUGCCAAUGGAGUUACUUCUCCUGUGACCGGGGCUGGCACUGUGGCUCUCUCAUCCUCUCUUUCAUUAUCUAAUACUUUACUUGUUCCAUCUCUAUCAAAUAAGCUAAUGUCAGUUAGUCAGAUUACUGAACAAUUGAAUUGUUGUGUAUUAAUCUACCCGAGUUUUUGUUUACUUCAGGAUAUUCACACUAAUGAGAUUAUUGGUCGUGGUACUAUGAGAGGGGGGCUAUAUUAUAUGGAGGAUCUCAGUACAGGCAUGGCUCACAAUGUGACACAUGAUAUCAAACAAAGGCAAGUCUGGUUGUGGCAC